AAUUGGAUGGCUGGUAAUAGAACCCAACCGGCACGGUACUGUAGCCAUUUUCCAUGAUGAACAUAUCAUCCUUCCUUCCCUAAAUUCCAACGGUCAACCAUAUCAAUUUCAACAACUGCGGAUGCAGGUACCUAUCGUUUCAUGUAAUGUGAAAUGAAUAUGAUCACUUGGAAAUAGAAGACCUCGGACCAAUCAUUUCCUCUUUCCAAUCACGACCGACUGAAAGAAGGUGACAAAGCGAUGCGAAGAUAAACACAAACAGAACGAGGACAGACGUCUGCCGCCAAGCCAAGCUGUCUUCUCUAUUUUCCUAUUUGGGACCUUUAUAAAGGCUCACAGCUAACCCUUUUGCACUUUUUGAACUUUGGUUGAAUGGAGAUACAAGAAAACCAGAGAAUAUGAUGCUGUUUGUGGUUUCAGCUGCGACGAUGAGGAGAUAUGCAUCCAAAACUUCCGGGUGGCGUCUGGGCUUAAAAAAGCUUAAUUUUUUCUCGGUCAAUUGUGAAAGUGAGUCCUAUUUCUGUCAAGGAAGUGGCAAUUGUCAAGGUCUAACAAGCAGUUUUAUUGAUGGAACCAUGUCACAAGCAUAUGCAACUUCUUGUGAAAGGUUAUCUAAAUCUCUGAUAAAAGAUAAUCCUACUUCUGAUAAGUUAUCAUAUGCAACUUCUUGUGCUCAGUUGUCUGAAGCUCCAGCAAGAGAUAAUCCAGUGUCUGAUAUGUUAGUUGAUUCAUUUGGAAGGCGACACACUUACUUGAGGAUCUCCUUGACAGAACGUUGUAAUCUGCGGUGUAUGUACUGUAUGCCAGCUGAGGGUGUGGAGCUUACUCCUAACCCUCAACUUCUGUCCCAGAAUGAGAUUGUUCGUUUGGCAAAUCUUUUUGUCAGCUCUGGAGUGGAUAAAAUUCGUUUGACUGGUGGGGAGCCAACCAUUAGGAAAGAUAUUGAAGAAAUAUGCUCACAAUUGUCCAGCCUGAAAGGACUAAAGACACUGGCCAUAACCACCAAUGGUAUUACUCUUGCCAGAAAGCUUCCAAAGCUGAAAGAAUGUGGACUGAGUUCGGUGAAUAUUAGUUUAGAUACUUUGGUUCCAGCAAAAUUUGAAUUCAUGACCAGGCGUAAAGGGCAUGAAAGGGUUAUGGAAUCAAUUCACACAGCUAUAGACCUUGGGUAUAAUCCUGUUAAGGUGAACUGUGUUGUAAUGCGUGGGUUCAAUGAUGAUGAGAUCUGUGAUUUCGUAGAGAUGACUCGUGAUAAACCAAUUAAUAUUCGGUUUAUUGAGUUCAUGCCUUUUGAUGGAAAUGUUUGGAAUGUCAAGAAACUUGUACCUUAUGCAGAAAUGUUGGAUAGAGUGGUGAAACAGUUUACAAGCCUAAAGAGACUUCAAGAUCAUCCUACAGAGACUGCCAAGAAUUUUACGAUUGAUGGGCAUUGUGGUACUGUUUCUUUUAUUACAUCAAUGACUAAGAAUUUUUGUGCUGGUUGCAAUAGAUUGCGACUUUUAGCUGAUGGGAACUUCAAAGUAUGCCUGUUUGGUCCGUCAGAGGUUAGCUUAAGAGAUCCCCUUCGUUCUGGUGUUGAUGAUCAUGAACUUGGUGAAAUAAUUGGGGCAGCGGUCAAGAGGAAGAAAGCUUCUCAUGCUGGAAUGUUUGACAUUGCAAAGACCGCAAAUAGGCCCAUGAUACAUAUUGGUGGCUAAGAUGACUCCAGAUUUGAUGAAUGCAUGUUUAAGUGAAUUCCGUUAUACAAGGUUUUGCAAGAACCCUGUAAAUUAUGGUGCAUUUCUAACUUCUGAGAUUAUAUGGAGGAAGUUUUACUUGCUUGGGGCAUAGAGGAAGUGCAGCCGUUUCUCUCUCUCAUUCAGUUUAAAUCUGCCACACAAAGGAUGAAAGAUACUUUUGCACUUUAUCCAUGUUUUAUUUGUAACCAUUUACAGAUGGAAAGUGAUGUGCAUGCAGAGGUGUUAACCCAUUAAGUUCAUUUAUACGGGAACUCUUGUUUAUGUUGUAUCCUCAAUAAGGUUAUCAUCAAUUUCUUUGCUAAUACAGUGAAGGACUGUUGCACAACUGAUUCGUUUCUCUGAGGUUCUGUAUGGAUCAAUCUAUUCUUUGUAUGGAAAAAAACAAUCUGGAUUGAAAA